GACGAACGCUGGCGGCGUGCUUAACACAUGCAAGUCGAACGGAAAGGCCCUGCUUUUGUGGGGUGCUCGAGUGGCGAACGGGUGAGUAACACGUGAGUAACCUGCCCUUGACUUUGGGAUAACUUCAGGAAACUGGGGCUAAUACCGGAUAGGAGCUCCUGCUGCAUGGUGGGGGUUGGAAAGUUUCGGCGGUUGGGGAUGGACUCGCGGCUUAUCAGCUUGUUGGUGGGGUAGUGGCUUACCAAGGCUUUGACGGGUAGCCGGCCUGAGAGGGUGACCGGGCACAUUGGGACUGAGAUACGGCACAGACGCCUACGGGAGGCAGCAGUGGGGAAUAUUGCACAAUGGGCGGAAGCCUGAUGCAGCAACGCCGCGUGCGGGAUGACGGCCUUCGGGUUGUAAACCGCUUUCGCCUGUGACGAAGCGUGAGUGACGGUAAUGGGUAAAGAAGCACCGGCUAACUACGUG
rnacentral:rRNA from 1 species